rnacentral:rRNA from 1 species
CCUACGGGAGGCUGCAGUGGGGAAUAUUGCACAAUGGGGGAAACCCUGAUGCAGCGACGCCGCGUGAGUGAAGAAGUAAUUCGUUACGUAAAGCCCUAUCAGCAGGGAAGAAACACUGACCUUACGGUCAGCAGACGGUACCUGAGUAAGAAGCCCCGGCUAACUACGUGCCAGCAGCAGCGGUAAUACGCAGGGGGCAAGCGUUAUCCGGAAGUACUGGGUGUAAAGGGAGCGUAGACGGUGCGCCAAGUCAGAAGUGAAAUGCCGCGGCUUAACCGUAGAACUGCUUUGGAAACUGGCGAACUAGAGUGCGGGAGGGGUAAGUGGAAUUCCUGGUGUAGGGGUGAAAUGCGUAGAUAUCAGGAGGAACACUGAUUGCGAAGGCGGCUUGCUAGAACGUAACUGACGCUGAGGCGCGAAAGCGUGGGGAGCAAACAGGAUUAGAUACCCGUGUAGUC